CUGACCAGACAAGGGCAUUGUCCCCACUCAGAAAUGCUCCAAAAGAACUAAGGAGAAGGAUUAGAGGAGACAAAAUGUUUUUGCUAAAUUCUUGCACUGAAGCCAGAGUUGCUCAGGAAAUAACAGCUCAGUUUGUUAGCUCUGAUCUCUAAUUCCAUCCCAAAUUCAUAACGUUAUUUUUUUUGUUUGUUUCCAUUGUUCAUUUGUUGUGUGCCUCUUAGGAUGUCCCUUUCCAUCUGGGCCUCAAUGACCUUCCCUGGGAAAUGGGGUACUUGUACUUAACCAUACCCCUGCUUCUAAAGACAAACUGGGAAAAUUAAAUGGAAAUUCUAAAAGAAAGCUUCAUCUUUUAGUUCCUUAGAGAACUAGCAUUACAGUUGAUUACCUAGGUGAUGAUUCAAGCUAUUCAACCCUUGUCAUUCUGAAUGUACUUCUCUUCCAGCUUGCCUUGGAAAGAAAAUCAGCCAGUUAAAGAAAGCAUCAGCUGGAACUCUCUCAGCUCUCAGUGACUGCAGAGUGAACUAUGGCAUUCAGCAUAGAAAAUGUUCUUCCAGUGCUCCAAUAAAUAGCAUUCAGUUUUUAGCCCCAGGGAAUUCAGUGUAGCCCUGGUUACUCCUCACUGCCACAGCCAACACUGCUUCCUUGGGUAGGAGAAAUGAUUUAUGGAGGUGAGCAGCCAUUCCAAACUUUAAUUAAGCACGUAAAGAACCAUCAAUUUUUUAAAGGGCACCAACCCAGAAAGAUGAGAGCUGAACUCCUGUAGAACAUAAUUACCUUUCCAACAUUUUAUCUGAUCUCCUUGUUUUACUUCUCUAAGAUGAGCUGAACAACAGCCAAUCAACCACCCCCACAGUUUACUCCUGCAGAGAAAGAUGUGCCUAAAAGAGAAGCAGCACCUACCUGGAAGACUCAGGAGACAAAGAGGGAAAGAAAUGAAUCCCCAAGAUUUCCUGGGCUGAGCCUAACAGGAUAUGAGAAGCAGAAACUUCUGGAUUGUGAGAAGAAACAAAGGAAGAAGAGAGAUGCUCUAUAGGAGAAAAAUCACAGACAAUAAGUGGGGAGAGCAAGAAGACAAAGUUUUGUUACUUUAAUUCACCACUCCUAUCCCCAGCCACCAGUGGCCAUCCUGUACUGGAUUCUAAACCCAGGGCCCUAA
rnacentral:lncRNA from 1 species